rnacentral:rRNA from 1 species
GCAGAUAUCACCUUAUCCGGGAUCCUCAUAUGGAUAACUGCGGAAAUACUGGAGCUAAUACAUGCAACUAUACCCCAACGCAAGGCGGGGUGCAAUUAUUAGAACAGACCAAACGUUUUCGGACGUUGUUUGUUGACUCUGAAUAAAGCAGUUUACUGUCAGUUUCGACUGACUCUAUCCGGAAAGGGUGUCUGCCCUUUCAACUAGAUGGUAGUUUAUUGGACUACCAUGGUUGUUACGGGUAACGGAGAAUAAGGGUUCGACUCCGGAGAGGGAGCCUUAGAAACGGCUACCACGUCCAAGGAAGGCAGCAGGCGCGAAACUUAUCCACUGUUGAGUAUGAGAUAGUGACUAAAAAUAUAAAGACUCAUCCUUUUGGAUGAGUUAUUUCAAUGAGUUGAAUACAAAUGAUUCUUCGAGUAGCAAGGAGAGGGCAAGUCUGGUGCCAGCAGCCGCGGUAAUUCCAGCUCUCCUAGUGUAUCUCGUUAUUGCUGCGGUUAAAAAGCUCGUAGUUGGAUCUAGGUUACGUGCCGCAGUUCGCAAUUUGCGUCA